UUCUUCCCUCCUUCCCCCCUUUUCCCUCCGCUGGGCUGGCAGAUCAGAGUGAGAGGCGCUGGCACUGGAGUAGGAAGCUCGGCUGCUGCUGUUACUGCUCCCUCUUGGGCUUCGGCGAGAACCUUUGCUUGUCAAGCAAGAGGGCCAAGAAGGCAGGGCUGCCGGGCUGCACAAGAAGAAGCACCAGCCUCCUACAGCACCACUACAGGCACUGCGAGGACAUAACACCAGAGAGCGGCUCCUCUGCCCUCCGAAACGACAACUUUCCUACCAUCUUGGAGCAGCAGAGGGGGCCGGGGGAAAAAGUGCACUCGCUCCCGAGAAAGUACAAAUUUCUUCUCAUCUCUGGAAAAAAGUCCACACUGGCCGUCUACACCGGCGCCUGAGGGGACCGGCAGCAAAGAAUCUGGGGGUGUAUGAGCCACGUUUUCAUUUGUUCCAGGGGAAAAAAUGUUUCUGCGUCUUCUGAUGGAAAGAAAUCUUUACAGGACACAGGUUUUCCGUUAGGAAGGUUAUCUUUCCUGUCAGAGAGGAUGAGCCUUCUUGGCCUCAAAGCUAUCCAACAAGAUUCUAAAUUCUCCUGCUUGGUAGUUUCCAAGGUAAGCAAGGUAUCACCCACAACACCGACUUCUGUAUCUAGAAGUGCUGGGUUUCUGCCAGGUAGGUGCCUUUUGCCAAAACAAAUUUUAGUACCCAGCCAUGGGAGUCCUCUUCAUUCACAGUGA
rnacentral:lncRNA from 1 species